UUUAAAUUUAGAGUUUGAUCCUGGCUCAGGACGAACGCUGGCGGCGUGCUUAACACAUGCAAGUCGAGCGAUGAAGCUUCCUUCGGGGAGUGGAUUAGCGGCGGACGGGUGAGUAACACGUGGGUAACCUGCCUCAAAGUGGGGGAUAGCCUUCCGAAAGGAAGAUUAAUACCGCAUAAUAUAAGAGAAUCGCAUGAUUUUCUUAUCAAAGAUUU
rnacentral:rRNA from 1 species